rnacentral:tRNA from 1 species
GAGGGUAUAGCUCAGUGAGAGAGUGUGUGCUUUACAUGCACGAGGCCCUGGGUUCAGUCCCCAGUACCUCCA